GACGAACGCUGGCGGCGUGCCUAAUACAUGCAAGUCGAGCGGAGUUAGAGAAGCUUGCUUCUCUAACUUAGCGGCGGACGGGUGAGUAACACGUGGGCAAUCUGCCCGUAAGACUGGGAUAACUCCGGGAAACCGGGGCUAAUACCGGAUAAUCCUGACUCUCUCCUGAGAGUCAGUUGAAAGAUGGUUUCGGCUAUCACUUACGGAUGAGCCCGCGGCGCAUUAGCUAGUUGGUAGGGUAAUGGCCUACCAAGGCGACGAUGCGUAGCCGACCUGAGAGGGUGAUCGGCCACACUGGGACUGAGACACGGCCCAGACUCCUACGGGAGGCAGCAGUAGGGAAUCUUCCGCAAUGGACGAAAGUCUGACGGAACAACGCCGCGUGAGUGAAGAAGGUUUUCGGAUCGUAAAACUCUGUUGUUAGGGAAGAACACGUACGAGAGUAACUGCUCGUACCUUGACGGUACCUAACCAGAAAGCCACGGCUAACUACGUG
rnacentral:rRNA from 1 species